rnacentral:lncRNA from 1 species
AUGGCCUCCAGGGAUGUGACAAUAGGAAUGAUCUUCUUAUCUCAGGCCACAGUAGGAUUCCUGGGCAAUUGCUUUCUUCUUUAUCAUUAUAGUUUCCUUUAUUUCACCAGAUGCACAUUAAAGUCCACAGAUCUGAUUCUCCAGCACCUGACUAUAGCCAACUCCUUGGUCAUUCUCUCUAAAGGAGUCCCACAAACAAUGGCCAUUUCCUCAGUGACAUUGGGUGCAAAUUUGUUUUCUGUUUCCACAGAGUGGGCAGGGGUGUGUGCAUGGGCACCACCUGAUUUCUGAGUAUCUUCCAGGCCAUCACGAUCGGCCCCACAAAUUCCACGUGGGCAGAGCUGAAACUAUAAGCUCCCAGAUACGUUGGGGCCUUCACCCUCCUGUGCUAGGUGCUGAACAUGCUGGUAAAUACCAUUUUUCUUAGGAGUAUGACUGACAAGUGGAGUAACAAACAUAACACACGGAAAAGAGAUUUGGGAUAUUGUUGUGCAGUAAGUAAUAACAGAAUUACAGGAUUACUACAUACAACGUUGUCAUGAUCCUACGAUGUUUUGUGUUUGGGCCUCAUGACCUGGGCCAGCAGGUCCAUGGUCUUUAUUCGGCACAGGCACAGGGAGUGGGUCCAACACCUUCACAGGACUAACCUCCCCACCAGGUCCUCCCCUGAGUUCAGAGUGACCCAAAGCAUCCUUGUUCUAGUGAGCACCUUUGCAUCAUUCUAUACCCUCUCCUCUGUCUUCACACCAUUUUUGGCUAAGUACCCUAACCCCAGCUGGUGGCUGGUGAACACGUCUGCACUGACCACUGCCUGUUUCCCCACAGUCAGCCCCUUUGUCCUCAUGGGCCA